CACAGAAAUGAGCUCAUCCCCGGGUCGAAGCCGCCCGUCGCGCUCAGCGGGAGUGUUCUCUAUUAUAGCGCCAAUGACAAUCUGUUCAAAGACAAUCAAUAUUAGCAGCAUAGAUUAAGAUUGCAUGCUGUUGCACAACGUGGACAAGUUAGCAAGGCGUUACUUCAGUAUGGGAGGCACCGAGCAGUUAGAGAGUCAGGUGGCUAAUCGCACAGGAACUAGGAAAAGAGGGAAAAUGGCCACACUCCAUGUGGCUCUGGCAAUACUGCAAGAAUCUGCACUUCAAACUUCAACACCAUGAAAUUCUCACUCAGCCCCCUUUCUCAGCUGCUUUAUAAUUCCAUUUUGAUUUAUUCUCUCACACCAAGGGCGUGCAAUUGUGUUCUCUCUUCACUUUAAAAGAAAGGUAAAAUGCUGAACAUGGCAGAGCAUUACAUGUGGUAUAGAGCAGCUCAUUGCAAAGACUCAACAUGUGGCAGGCAUCGUGGAACACCACAAGCCCUGAAAGCUCUGUCUAAAUACAAAGAGCCAACAGUCAAAUCAGUCAGAUUUAAAUGUUUGUUUAAAAGAGACUCAGCCACUGUGAGAAAGCAAUGGAAGUUUUGCAGCAGAAAGGAAAACAGAUCACAGGCAAUAAUAUGACUUCAUAUAUUCUCUUCUUGUUGCUGCUUUCCUUCACCAACAUAACAUCAAACUAGAUUUAUAUGCAGUAAAACAAUAAAAAUGCGGUUUCCCAGAGUGUGUGAGUACAGUCGGUAUAUUCGGCCAAACAGCAUCACACCAUCCAGUUCAUCCUGUUUGCCAGCUAGAUGACACUCUCCAGUAAUUUCUGUCCAAAGCACAUUGCAGUAAAAUAACUGCAUUUAUUUUGAAGAUGAGUGGCCUCAGUGGGAAUGAAACUGCUUUCCCCAUAACAGUGCUGGUGCCAUCUGUGCCCAGAGAGCUGUGCUACACCUGACAGUGAGUUUAACGCUACCUCUCAUUCCAACUCUCCACUUCAUUUUACAUUUGAUGCGCUGUAUCUUAAAAUUCCCUCCAUGUCGAAUCCCCCCUCCCAUGCCGCUCUGUUUGUUUCACUGGAAAACAUUGAUGACAUGUUGGUGAUAAAGCUGCACUUGGAAACCACUGAGAACACAUGGUGCGAUGCACAAAACACUUAGAGUGACAUCUGCUGACACUUCUUCCUGAUCUGUAAUAUUGAUGUGUAUUCACUGGAUGAGUCAGCACAUAUGAAAUAUGCUAAACAUCAUAUUGUUCAUUGCAUACUUAUGGUUAUAUCAUUUCUAAUAAUCUGUCCUGCAGCCAUUUGUACCUGCAUUGAUCAAAUUUCCCUAA